GUGUAACAUUGCUAUCUCACACAUACAAACAAUCUGUCUAGUUCACUUUGUGUGCUCAAUCGGUACUUCGGUCGUCGGUACACGACUGUGCUUCGGUAGGUGGGUGCGAUGAUACGAUGUAGCUAGUGCGAGACGAUCGCGAUGUGGGCAUACCCAUUUGUAAGAUAGUGAUGACAACGACUCACGGGGUUGGCGGCGGCGGCUGCGGCGGCAGCGUGUCGGCGGCGCAAGUGCGGGCGGGCCAGCGCGCCCGCGGCCGCACACACCAAUACAGCGGCGCCAACGCAUACGCCCGCCCACCACCACUCUGAAAAAAACACAUUACAGGUUAUGCAACAAUAAAAAAAAAAAUACAAUCGAUUAACCAUGAUACAACUUAAUCGAAUUAAACAUAAGGCGUUGGUACAUCACUAUAAUAUAAUUUUGACAGAUUGACAUUGACAGAGACAUAAUAAUCGUAUUGUGACAAAAGUUUAGUUAUAAAAAAUUUAAGGAAAAUAAAAUAGUUUAAAAGAC